GAAACUCGGAUUAAUACCGGAUACCCUCUUUGGACCACAUGGUCCGUUGAGGAAAUGGUCCGCCGCUUCGGGAUGGCCUCGCGGCCUAUCAGCUUGUUGGUGAGGUAAUGGCUCACCAAGGCCGAGACGGGUAGCUGGUCUGAGAGGACGAUCAGCCACACUGGGACUGAGACACGGCCCAGACUCCUACGGGAGGCAGCAGCAGGGAAUAUUGCACAAUGGGCGAAAGCCUGAUGCAGCGACACCGCGUGCGGGAUGAAGGCCUUCGGGUUGUAAACCGCUUUCAGGAGGGACGAAAAUGACGGUACCUCCAGAAGAAGGCCCGGCCAACUACGUGCCAGCAGCCGCGGUAAUACGUAGGGGCCAAACGUUGUCCGGAUUUAUUGGGCGUAAAGGGCUCGUAGGCGGUUCAACAAGUCGGUCGUGAAAACCCGGGGCUCAACCCCGGGACGCCGGUCGAAACUGUUGUGACUAGGGUCCGGUAGAGGUGAGUGGAAUUCUCGGUGUAGCGGUGGAAUGCGCAGAUAUCGAGAGGAACACCGGUAGCGAAGGCGGCUCACUGGGGCCGGUACCGACGCUGAGGAGCGAAA
rnacentral:rRNA from 1 species